UUAGCUUUCAUUAUAGUUUUCGUA
rnacentral:snRNA from 1 species